GGGAGGAGAGCUUGUUUUUCACAAUCCAGAUGGUCAUCAGAAAGAAGGCCCAGUUAAUCUGCAGGAACCCCACAAGGCAUAUUGAAUACAUGCCACAUGUGUAUAGCUUCUUCCUAGCUCAUUGAACACCUAACCCAGAAGAGAUGAUGAUGAAGACGGGACCAAGGAAAGUCCAUACAAAUCCCUGUUGUGUGUGGAGCCAGCAUCUAGGACAGAGAUGGAAAGGGAUUGAAGAAUAUAUUUGCCUUUGUGGAUAAACAAUGAAUAAAUUAACAUAUCCUUCA